rnacentral:rRNA from 1 species
AGCGAACGCUGGCGGCAGGCCUAACACAUGCAAGUCGAACGAAGUCUUCGGACUUAGUGGCGGACGGGUGAGUAACACGUGGGAACGUACCUUUUGGUUCGGAACAACUCAGGGAAACUUGAGCUAAUACCGGAUGAGCCCAUAGGGGGAAAGAUUUAUAGCCGAAAGAGCGGCCCGCGUUAGAUUAGCUAGUUGGUGAGGUAAAGGCUCACCAAGGCUACGAUCUAUAGCUGGUCUGAGAGGAUGAUCAGCCACACUGGGACUGAGACACGGCCCAGACUCCUACGGGGGGCAGCAGUGGGGAAUCUUGCGCAAUGGGCGAAAGCCUGACGCAGCCAUGCCGCGUGAAUGAUGAAGGUCUUAGGAUUGUAAAAUUCUUUUACCAGGGACGAUAAUGACGGUACCUGGAGAAAAAGCCCCGGCUAACUUCGUGCCAGCCGCCGCUGUAAAAC